UACUCAUGUCUUGUCUUAACAAACAGUUAAUGACUAAUUCAAGCUCAGACUGUCCCAAACAUGGCAGAAUGGAUCUUUUUUUCUAGGAUGUGGGUCUGGGGAGACCGUCUGUGAGAUCUGCAACCACAGAGUAUCCUGGACUUCGUGCCCUAUCGCUGUGUUGUAAGGUUAUGGCAGUGCUGAACUGAGCAUGAGGCUCGUGUCCUUCCCCCCAAGUUGUCAUGGCCGGAUAGGAAUCUUCCACUCCAACUCCUGGUGUUUUUAUGGCCAGUGUCACACUAGUAUUUGAGCAUCUCCCUGGCAUUUAUGGAUUUAUCCUCAGACUGUCCCUGUGAGAAGUGAGUCUGCAUCGCUGAUGCUGGAUGUCCGGGCCAGUUGCUUCAGACAGAGGAGGACUGGCGCUGCUUUGGAAUAUGGUGCCUAACUUCUGCAUGCCAGUCGCCAUUGUGCCGGCAGUGGUUCUGUGCUGCUUGAUCGUUUUGGCGGCAGCAGACAGUAAGUAACAUUUAAACUGUAAUGCAAAAACUUGACAUGUUUUCUUCCAUCAAUAGUCACCCUCUUGGCCAAGGCAUAAUGGUCUCACGUGGCCAGUGUGGUUAAACAGCACAUGCCGGGGAGCUUGUCCUGUUCUGUCACUUGGAAAAACAAAGUGUCGAUAAGAGCGAUGUGGUUUUUGGGGAGCAAUCUGUCCAGUGACUGUGAGUUUUCUCAGUUAUAGAGGACUAAACAAAACGUUUGUCCUGGCGACGGAGGUGCUGUAAGUAGGACACAGGGAAUUUCCCCUUUAUUUUCCCCAAACUUUUAUUCAUUCCAUUAAUCCUGAGAACACCACGCUGCUGCUGAAGUCUGCCAGUCAGGUGGCUGGUACUGGAGAGGUUUCAGAGAAGACCCAUGAAAAGGAUUGGAGAGCCCUCCUUACGACGAGGGUCAAAGGGGAGCCAUCUUCUUAACUUAACAGACGAGAGAGUACGAGGUGGGUUGGUCGCAGUUCGUAAGUGCGUGCAAGGGGGUAGAAAUGGAGCAUUGGGCUCCUCAGUGCCGCAGGGAGAGGUCCAAUAUGAUCAGAAGCUGGAAGUGGAAGAUUCAGAGAGGGAAAAGGUGCAAAUGUUUGUCAGUGGGGAUAAUUGUACAGUGGAGCCAUGUCCCAAGGGUUGUGGUGGAUUUUCCAGCACUGACAAUCUGCAAACCAAGACUGGAGUUUUUUAAAGAUCUGCUCUACUUCAGAAGGGAUUUGGGGGGCAGAUCUCCAGCCUGUGUCGCAGUGGGGCGGGGCUGGCAGAGGGUGUCAGGAUAGAUGAUGACAGUGGUCCCUUCUGGCCUUGGGAUCUUUGAAUGGGUGGGAGCUGCUGGGGAGUGGUGCGGAGGCCCUGCAGUAGCUCUCCUAGGUUUGCAUUGCACAGCGCGAUGGUGGAAUAUUUCAGUAGCGCCACCGUGUUUGUAACCUGUGCCCACCAGCACCCUGCUUGCUGUGUUCUGGAGCCACCAUCCCCGCGUGAUUGGCCCCAUCCGGAAGGAACAAAAAGGGGCGGAGCAACUUGGCUAACUAGGCCCCUGGGAAUUCAUUGCGGGAGUGCUUGCACGAAGGCGCUAGUGCAAUGCAGAAAAGCCCCACAGGCUCGUUUUUCAGCCUGGAGUUCAUCACUCAGCUUGGGCGGCUGUCCGAGGCCGUCAGGCCUAGAUGUACUUGUGGGGCCAAUCGGAAGGCAGCGCCCUCCGUAUCAUGACACAGUUUCCCUUCUUCUUAGUCUCCCUGGACACAGGGCAGCUGCCAAGUCACUACCUCCCUGUCCGCUGCUUAUUUUGGAGUGGGGUGACUUUCAAGCCUGCUGGUCUGAGCCUGCACGUGGGGCAGAAAGAAGUCGGAGCCCGGCUAAUUGAAGAGUUCAGUCUCUGGUAGAGCUGUCUGGCGCCUGCGCUGGCUGGGAGAGGGGAUGGGGAAUAGGAAUAGUGCUCUGGCUGGCAGCUGGAUCCUGUCUCUCUGCAUCGCUCCGGGCUGCCACUCACAUCUGCCAGAGGCUUCCUUUUGUUCUGAAAGGCUUCGCACCCAGGAAUCUCACUGAAAUCAAUGGGGACUGAGCCCUGUGAGGAAGUCAGCGUGCAGACAGAGUCUCAGCUUUCCAUGCAAACUAAAAAGCCAUGUUUGGAGCUGGAUGGCUGUGAUGCUCUGCCAGCGUAGCUAGUUACAGAGAUAGCGGCUUCUCACCCCGCUUCCACCCUGUCCCUUCAGUUUGCAAUUGAGCUACAAAUGUAGAAACCUCAGAGGAAGCCCUGGUAGGUCUUGGUGAGAGCCUGGGCGUGAGGCAGGAGGGAAAGCAUGCAGAGCUAUUUGGCCUGAGCAAAGAGGGGCAGUGAGGUGAUGGAGCAGGAGGGAAAAUAGGAGGAAAGUUGAGAAAUUGAUUUGCCAACAAUAGCCCUUCCCCGAGGAAGCUGGGGAUGGUCAUUUUGCCACAGCUCCCCUGGCUGCUGUUGGCAGCAGACAUUUAAACGCACCAUCUUAGUCUUCGCCUGCUGUGGAGUCGAGAGAGAACAAGCGGGCAUGUGCAGACUUUGUCCUCGUGGAGAAUUGGCCCUGCUCUUCCAGGAAGAAUAAAGCGCCGGGUUCCAGCAAGUACAGAACCAGGAGGUGAGGGGGGAUCUUAGGACCUGUCCGAGUUUCGCAGGGGUGAAAGUGGGCUGGACCAGGCCGGUAGGGCACACUGGCAAGAUCCAGCCACCGGUACAGGCCCGUCUGCAGCUGACCUUAAAGCACUGCUCCCUUGUUGGCUGCCCUUCUGGUUGGGAGCAAAAGGGGCAGCUGCCCUGGGGCCCGGUGAUUUAAAAGGGCCCUAGAGCUCCCAGCUACAGCUACUGCAGUCCCCGUUUGUGGCUCUAACCGCCAAUUUGCCUUUUAUUCCACCCCCUUGCUCUCGUUUGAAUGGCGGGGUGACACUGUUCAGAACAAAUUGGUCUGGCUCACAGCAUCUGAGGGUCAGAAAGGAAGGAAGCGAAAAGGCGACACUUUCCUGUCCACAGAGCAGGCAGCUUUGGGAGCAGUUAGGUUUCCAGAGAAGGGGAGUGCGUUAUCUGGCGAUGGACAUGGACCUGCCGCUGAGGCUGAGCGCAUUGACUGUGCAAUGCUGUGCAGUACCUUGUUGUGAAGGACAGGGCCGGAGCGUGAGGUGAGGUGUGAGCGCCCCUGCCGUAGCCUGAUGCCUAGGUCGGUGAGAAGUAACAUUGGGGGCAUCGUGGCUGUUCCGUCUCCAUUUGGGAGGGCGUGAGAGAGGUGUCAGAAUCCAUUAAUCUCUGGGGAGGCCCGAGGCGAGAUGACCGAGCAGGGAGAUGGGAUCCCUGCUCUUGGCUUGUGAAAUUCAUGUUGAUAGAAAAGGUCGGUAACUGAGGGCAAAGUGGCGGUGCGCAUGGUUUGCUGUGUCGGGUCUCUGGCUGCGGCCUGGGCUUGCUCGCUUCCCAACUCUGUUGUCACAGUAGAUUGUUGGGCUGCGCCUGCCGCUUUCUGACAAUUAGGCAACUGUCACAUGGCGCGCCGCUGACGGGUGAGAUGAAACAGGCUGGCUGUGUAUUGCAGGGAGGAAUUAGAGCGGGGAAUUGACUCUUUUGGCUUCCCUGGCAUUGAGUUCCCCAAAGCCUCACACACCGGCAAGGGAAGCGCCCCAGAAUUGGGGGCAGUGCAAAGAUGGAACGUUUCAGAAACAUGGGAAUCGUGAGGCCGGCACUGUAAG